AUGCCCAACCCACGACAACUCUGUAUCACAACUGCACUACAUCUUCAUCAUGCUCCUAUAUCUCUGAACAAUUCUUCAUCACAAAUUCUUUAUCUACAUAACAACACCAUUGUACCUCCAAUCAUCUUCAUCACAUUAAUCAUCGCAUUCAACAUCAAUAUCAAAGCUUCAACAAUCUGCAAUUCUGAAUUCGCAACAUUAACAACAAUUCACGCGUUGCCAAAGAUCGAUGAGUGA